rnacentral:rRNA from 1 species
UACGGAGGGAGCUAGCGUUGUUCGGAAUUACUGGGCGUAAAGCGCACGUAGGCGGCUUUGUAAGUUAGAGGUGAAAGCCCGGGGCUCAACUCCGGAACUGCCUUUAAGACUGCAUCGCUUGAUCCAGGAGAGGUGAGUGGAAUUCCGAGUGUAGAGGUGAAAUUCGUAGAUAUCGGAAGAACACCAGUGGCCGAAGGCGGCACACUGGACUGGUAUUGACGCUGAGGUGCGAAAGCG